GUGCCAGCCGCCGCGGUAAUACGUAGGGGGCAAGCGUUGUCCGGAUUUAUUGGGCGUAAAGAGCGUGUAGGCGGCCAGAUAAGUGGGUUGUGAAAACUGGAGGCUUAACCUUCAGACGUCGACCCAAACUAUCUGGCUAGAGUCCGGAAGAGGAGAGUGGAAUUCCUGGUGUAGCGGUGAAAUGCGCAGAUAUCAGGAAGAACACCCGUGGCUAAGGCGGCUCUCUAGUACGGUACUGACGCUGAGACGCGAAAGCGUGGGGAGCGAACAGGAUUAGAUACCCCGGUAGUCC
rnacentral:rRNA from 1 species